rnacentral:rRNA from 1 species
CACGUAGGGGGGCAAGCGUUGUCCGGAUUUAUUGGGCGUAAAGAGCUCGUAGGUGGUUCGGUAAGUCGGGUGUUAAACCCCCAGGCUCAACCUGGGGACGCCACUCGAUACUGCUGUGACUAGAGUCCGGUAGGGGAGCGUGGAAUUCCUGGUGUAGCGGUGAAAUGCGCAGAUAUCAGGAGGAACACCAGCGGCGAAGGCGGCGCUCUGGGCCGGUACUGACACUGAGGAGCGAAAGCGUGGGUAGCAACAGG